AAUGGAAUAGUUGGGAUAAAUGGUGGUUCCAUUCCAAGUUUUCCAAGGAAUCCCCAUAAUGUUUUCCAGAUUGGUUGCACCAAUUUGCAAUCCCACCAGCAAU
rnacentral:pre_miRNA from 1 species